CUACGUAGUAUAGGGCUCUGCUCUGUUGCUCGAUACCAAGUAUUCAUCUUUCUUUCAGUAUUCUAAUAUUUUCCAUUCCUCCUCCAGAGGCUGCUGUCCCCCUGGCUGUUUUUGCCCCCCUGGCUGCCCCCAUGGCUGGUCGGCUGAGAGGCCCAGGCAAACAGAGCUCCAUGGCCAUCUACAAAGACAGAUCUGAUGUCCAUAUCCCCGGGGACCCCUCUGAUCCUGGGAGAGCCAUGGUCAGAGGCAGCCUGCCCCUGGAGCUCAGAGAGUUGCAGCAGCAGACAGGCAGAUCCCUGGGCACCUUGAUCUUGGGUCCUGAUGGUGAGGUUAUACAGAUGUCCCCUUGGGACCCUAAUAAUAUGUCUGCCACUGAGGACCAGCCUGAAGACCAGGUCACAAGAGACCAUGGGGAAGCCAGUAAUCCUGAAAGACCCCAAACCAACAUGGACGAAUGUGAAUUAGUCCAAGAGGUGGGAUCUGAUGGACAAACGGUCGUGUCUGGUGAACAGAGACAGGAACCUGAAUCUCCCAGGAACAGAACUACACGGAAACAGCUGCACCCAGACGCUCAGAGACCCGGAGGACGACAUAAAGACAUGAUGGCUGCUCUGAGCUACAACCUCCGCAGCAGGACAGCACCAGUGGAGAUUCCAAGACAGGAGGAAGGGAAGGCGACACGGGAAGGAAAGGAGGUGAGGAGGGAGGAAGCUGAGGAGAAGUCUACGACAAGGAAGAGGAGGCAGGAUCUGGAUCAGACAGGUCCACAGACGAGUGGGGUAUCCUCCUUACCUACCACAGAAGAAGAAGAAGAAGAAGAGACCCAAAACAUCAACCCCCACAAACCUUCACAGCCAAUCCCCACAGGUCUCUCUACAGAACGGGCCCUCUCUCAGAAGAAAAAUCCCAAUCGCUCAGAGGGACCACUUACACCCAGUGGCAGGAAAAGAGGCCAUUCUAAGAAAACAAACGUGACAGUAGAUGAACAGAAUCCACAGCAGGUGGAGGGACAGACACAGGAAACAGGUGAACAAACCAUCAGAGAGAAGAAGAAGAAGGACACAUUGAAUAAAGAGGUGGAAUCACAGGACUCUCCCACUCUACAGAAAAUGACAAAGAGAAAAGUGAUUGAAGGACAAGAGCAGAACCAGGAAGUCUUCUCCAAGGAGGCGGGGAAGAAGAAGAAGGCCCGGGUCAAAGGAAAACCUAAAGAGAAGACGAACAAGACCAACGAGUCUGAGACGUCUCCAUCUGCGUUGGGUCCUGGUGGAGACGUGAAGAAGGACACUGAGGAGCGUAGCGUUGUCCAAUCCCCUAGAUCCAAUCACAGCUCUGUAAACAGGAGCUCCUCAUCCAAUGGGCAGUCAGGUCAGAGAUCACACAGAUCGACCUCCUGUGAGGACGAGGUUUUACCGUCCGGACAACGACGGUCCUCUCGUGACCAACUGUCAUCCUCCUCGGUUGUCGUGGCAGCGGAAACCCAACCGUUAAAUCUGGUCAUGUCUGACACCAGCAUCAGUACUGACAAGAACAGAGGAGAAGCAGCAGCCCGUACGGAGCAACAGAAGAAUGUGUUGGUUGAGAAGGCAGAGCGUCGCCGACUAGAGGUGGAGAGGAAGAGGAAGGAGAGAGAGGAGGAGAGGAGGAGGCAGCAGGAGCGGGAGGAGAGAGAGGAGCGCAUGAGGCUGGAGCUGGAAGAGGAGCAGAAUCAGAGAGCUGAGGAACUCAGGUUGGGUGUCUAA
rnacentral:lncRNA from 8 species